rnacentral:rRNA from 1 species
AGAGUUAAAUAGUACGUGAAAUUGCUAAAAGGGAAACGCUUGCAGUCAGUGUUGGGCGUCGGAAAUCAGCUAGUCAGCGAUGGCUGGUGCACUUUGCGGGGUCCAGGUCAACAUCGGUUCCUCUGUGGGUUAGAUCAGGGCAGGAAGGUGGCUCCUCCGGGAGUGUUAUAGCCUGCGUGAGUGGCCUGCAAGGGACCGAGGAUAGCAGCGCAGGCCUUCGGGCUGGCGAACCGGGGGCUGUCUUUCUACAGGCUAGUAGCAGCAUGCUGAUGCUAGUUUGCGGAGAGGCACACGUCCGGGUAGCACAUGUGCGUUAAGGAUGUUGGCGGAAUGGCUGUAAGCGACC